rnacentral:miRNA from 1 species
AUUUAGCCAGCUGAGUGGGGAGGAGAGAGGGACAGAGAGCCUGCUUGCUUUAAAGGAGCCAACCGGACAGGAGCCGCUUACACUCGUGUAAGCGGCUCCUCUCCUCUCCUGCUUUGCUCCUUUAAAGCAAGCAGGCUCUCUGUCCCUCUCUCCUCCCCACUCAGCGGCUCUUCUC